GACGAACGCUGGCGGCGUGCCUAAUACAUGCAAGUAGAACGCACAGUUUAUACCGUAGCUUGCUACACCAUAGACUGUGGGUUGCGAACGGGUGAGUAACGCGUAGGUAACCUGCCUGGUAGCGGGGGAUAACUAUUGGAAACGAUAGCUAAUACCGCAUAAUAUUGAUUAUUGCAUGAUAAUUGAUUGAAAGAUGCUAUUGCAUCACUACCAGAUGGACCUGCGUUGUAUUAGCUAGUAGGUGAGGUAACGGCUCACCUAGGCGACGAUACAUAGCCGACCUGAGAGGGUGAUCGGCCACACUGGGACUGAGACACGGCCCAGACUCCUACGGGAGGCAGCAGUAGGGAAUCUUCGGCAAUGGACGAAAGUCUGACCGAGCAACGCCGCGUGAGUGAAGAAGGUUUUCGGAUCGUAAAGCUCUGUUGUAAGAGAAGAACGGGUGUGAGAGUGGAAAGUUCACACUGUGACGGUAUCUUACCAGAAAGGGACGGCUAACUACGUG
rnacentral:rRNA from 1 species